rnacentral:rRNA from 1 species
CAAAGAUCUUCUCCUCUCUUACUCUAGCCCUCGCCGCCGCCACAGAUCACACCUCCUCGUACGUCGCUAGUCGCUGCCACCAACCGAAGCGAUGGCCGCCUCCAACGUCGCAUCCAAGGCCCUGGCCGUCGCCGCCAUCCUGUCGGUCGCCGCCUUCUCCGUCGUCUCCGCCCAGGAGGCCCCGGCGCCCAGCCCCGUGUCCGCCGCCGGCGUCGCGACGCCGUCCCUCGCCGCUGCGCUCGUCGCCUCCGGUGCCGCCUUCCUCUUCGCCGCCGUCCGCCACUGAAGAGACUGCCUCCGUCUUCCCCGUCGAUGGCUCACCUACCUAGUACAACCACAUAUAGAUCCAUUUAUUUGUCAUUAGCGAUUUGUUCGUUCGUGUCAUUUUGCCCAGAUCUGCUACUGUCUGUCACUCGGUGAUGGUGAUUAGUAUCUCCUUAUUAGUAGAGAUUGUACCCGUGUGCUUGUAGAUACUAUUUAUCCGGUUUGAUCUAGUACUCAUAUGAUCGCUCCAUUUAGUUUUGAUGAUGCUUGCUGUCUCCCCUGUUUUUUCGUGCUUAUUUCCAGUCUCGCGGUGUAACCC